rnacentral:misc_RNA from 1 species
UUUCCGUAGGUGAACCUGCGGAAGGAUCAUUAUUGUAUAACCGAGGUGCGAGGGCUGUCCCUGACCCGAAAGGACGUGCACGCUCGACUGCACUCACACACAUCCAUCUCACCCCAAUGUGCACCAUCGAGUGGGUCCCCCUUAGGACAGUUCGCAGGGGGGCCUACGAUUUCACACAAUCUCUGUAUGUUGUGUAAAAUGUAUUUUUUGUUUUUGCGUAUACGAAACAAACACAACUUUUAACAACGGUUCUCUUGGCUCUCGCAUCGGUAAAGAACC